UAACGUGUCCCAUGUUGUCAUCGUCGUCACCGACGGCCGUUCUGAGAACUCGACGGAAACUAAGGCUCAGGCCAACGUUCUCAAAGACUCAGGGGUCUUAAUGUUUGCUAUAGGAGUGGGCCCUUAUGUAGACGAUCAGGAGUUGGAGGCCAUCGCCUCUGAACCAUCCGAAAAUUUCAUAUUCACGAUAGCCGAUUAUGACACACUCACGUCCAUCAAAAACACCCUCGCUCUCCGCGUUUGUGACGUAGGCAUCCCAGGUAACCAGACGGAGAUAGACGCUGAGUAGAGGGAACAGAUUGGUGUGAAGCUGAUUACCACGACAAGUUAAAGAGGUUUAUUUCCCCGAGACACGGACAGCACUAAUGGUUAAUAUGAUAAUAUCAGCCAGAAAGAAUCGACCUGUCUAUAAAUAAUACGAAAAACUUCACUCGGC